GGCGAUCAGAUACCGCCCUAGUUCUAACCGUAAACGAUGACAACUAGCGAUUAGUCGGCGUUAAUUUAUGACCCGACUAGCAGCUUCCAGGAAACUAAAGUUUUUCGUUUCCGGGGGAAGUAUGGUUGCAAAGCUGAAACUUAAAGGAAUUGACGGAAGGGCACCACCAGGAGUGGAGCCUGCGGCUUAAUUUGACUCAACACGGGAAAACUCACCCAGCCCAGACACUGUAAGGAUUGACAGACUGAGAGCUCUUUCUUAAUUCAGUGGGUGGUGGUGCAUGGCCGUUCUUAGUUGGUGGAGCGAUUUGUCUGGUUAAUUCCGAUAACGAACGAGACUCUGGCCUAUUAAAUAGACAGUAAAUAGAAAUGUAUACUGAGCUUCUUAGAGGGACAAGCGGCGUCUAGCCGCAUGAAAUAGAGCAAUAACAGGUCUGUGAUGCCCUUAGAUGUCUGGGGCUGCACGCGCGCUACACUGAAAGAAUCAGCGUGCUUUAUUCCUAGUCUGGAAGGACUGGGUAACCCAAGUAAAUUCUUUCGUGCUUGGGAUAGGGAAUUGUAAUUAUUUCCCUUAAACGAAGAAUUCCCAGUAAAUGCAGGUCAUAAGCUUGCGUUGAUUACGUCCCUGCCCUUUGUA
rnacentral:rRNA from 1 species